GGGAACGUCGUCUAGAGGCCUAGGACCUCACUCUUCCAAAGUGAUGACGCGAGUUCGAAUCUCGUCGUUCCCU
rnacentral:tRNA from 1 species